UUGACUAAAGCGAAAUUUAGUAGACGCUAUUUCAUAAAAAGAAUUAGUUUGUUGGCGUUUGGUUUGAAAUACUUAUCUAUGCACAGGGGACCGCAAUUCUGAAGAAAAAUUUAAAAAUGAAAAUUAGAGUUAACUUCUGCGAUAAACAACAAGCGAUAUAUAACUUUGUUAAUGAAAAAGUUAGAGUAAAUGAACUUAAAUGUAAAAUUUUUGAGGGAACAGGUGUUCCCCAGCACCAUCAAAGACUUAUGCUAGACGGAAAAGUUUUGCGUGAUGAAGAGUUUUUAGUAAAAAACAAACCGAUUUCAGCCAUUAAAGUUCAACCAACCAAGCUAAAUGAGAAACACGGGCAAUUUUUAGAAACAACUUUGUUAUACGACGACCUACAAGGCGGAGCUUGCAUCGAUAACUGUUGCGGUUGUACUUGCGUAUGUAGGCCUUUAGAGUGCAUACAUAGGGUGUGCUGCUUUUUCACAGGUUGCGAUUUACAAUUUAAUACUUGCCAAUUGUUCUGCUGGCGUUGUAUAUGUCUUCCCACGAGUGAACAGAAAAGCGAAGCAGAAGCGUAACCUCCAGUAUAUGUAAAGCU